AGAGUUUGAUCCUGGCUCAGGAUGAACGCUGGCGGCGUGCCUAAUACAUGCAAGUCGAGCGAACGGACGAGAAGCUUGCUUCUCUGAUGUUAGCGGCGGACGGGUGAGUAACACGUGGAUAACCUACCUAUAAGACUGGGAUAACUUCGGGAAACCGGAGCUAAUACCGGAUAAUAUUUUGAACCGCAUGGUUCAAAAGUGAAAGACGGUUUUGCUGUCACUUAUAGAUGGAUCCGCGCUGCAUUAGCUAGUUGGUAAGGUAACGGCUUACCAAGGCAACGAUGCAUAGCCGACCUGAGAGGGUGAUCGGCCACACUGGAACUGAGACACGGUCCAGACUCCUACGGGAGGCAGCAGUAGGGAAUCUUCCGCAAUGGGCGAAAGCCUGACGGAGCAACGCCGCGUGAGUGAUGAAGGUCUUCGGAUCGUAAAACUCUGUUAUUAGGGAAGAACAUAUGUGUAAGUAACUGUGCACAUCUUGACGGUACCUAAUCAGAAAGCCACGGCUAACUACGUGCCAGCAGCCGCGGUAAUACGUAGGUGGCAAGCGUUAUCCGGAAUUAUUGGGCGUAAAGCGCGCGUAGGCGGUUUUUUAAGUCUGAUGUGAAAGCCCACGGCUCAACCGUGGAGGGUCAUUGGAAACUGGAAAACUUGAGUGCAGAAGAGGAAAGUGGAAUUCCAUGUGUAGCGGUGAAAUGCGCAGAGAUAUGGAGGAACACCAGUGGCGAAGGCGACUUUCUGGUCUGUAACUGACGCUGAUGUGCGAAAGCGUGGGGAUCAAACAGGAUUAGAUACCCUGGUAGUCCACGCCGUAAACGAUGAGUGCUAAGUGUUAGGGGGUUUCCGCCCCUUAGUGCUGCAGCUAACGCAUUAAGCACUCCGCCUGGGGAGUACGACCGCAAGGUUGAAACUCAAAGGAAUUGACGGGGACCCGCACAAGCGGUGGAGCAUGUGGUUUAAUUCGAAGCAACGCGAAGAACCUUACCAAAUCUUGACAUCCUUUGACAACUCUAGAGAUAGAGCCUUCCCCUUCGGGGGGACAAAGUGACAGGUGGUGCAUGGUUGUCGUCAGCUCGUGUCGUGAGAUGUUGGGUUAAGUCCCGCAACGAGCGCAACCCUUAAGCUUAGU
rnacentral:rRNA from 1 species